rnacentral:tRNA from 1 species
GGAUGGGGUGUGGCUCAGUGAUAGAGCAUUUGGUUUGCAUGAAGAAGUUCCCAGGUCCAAUUCCUAGCAUAUCCA